UACGAAGGUCCCAAGCGUUAUCCGGAUUUAUUGGGUUUAAAGGGUGCGUAGGCGGUCUAUUAAGUCAGUGGUGAAAGCCCCAAGCUCAACUUGGGAACUGCCAUUGAUACUGAUGGACUUGAGUACAUUUGAGGUGGGCGGAAUGUGUCAUGUAGCGGUGAAAUGCUUAGAUAUGACACAGAACACCGAUUGCGAAGGCAGCUCACUAAACUGUAAACUGACGCUGAGGCACGAAAGCGUGGGGAGCAAACAGG
rnacentral:rRNA from 1 species